GAUGAACGCUGGCGGCGUGCUUAACACAUGCAAGUCGAACGAAGCACUUUAUUACGAUUUCUUCGGAAUGACGAUUUAGUGACUGAGUGGCGGACGGGUGAGUAACGCGUGGGUAACCUGCCUUAUACAGGGGGAUAACAGUUAGAAAUGACUGCUAAUACCGCAUAAGCGCACAGGAUUGCAUGAUCUGGUGUGAAAAACUCCGGUGGUAUAAGAUGGACCCGCGUCUGAUUAGCUGGUUGGUGAGGUAACGGCCCACCAAGGCGACGAUCAGUAGCCGACCUGAGAGGGUGACCGGCCACAUUGGGACUGAGACACGGCCCAAACUCCUACGGGAGCAGCAGUGGGGAAUAUUGCACAAUGGGGGAAACCCUGAUGCAGCGACGCCGCGUGAGCGAAGAAGUAUUUCGGUAUGUAAAGCUCUAUCAGCAGGGAGAAAAAAUGACGGUACCUGACUAAGAAGCCCCGGCUAACUACGUGCCAGCAG
rnacentral:rRNA from 1 species